GUAACACAAGGCCACUGAGCAGCAGGUCUGAUGCCCACGGAGGAGGAGCCUUCAGGCAUAAAAAGAUCUUGUCACCGUUGUCAGGUCCUUUCUAUCCUGCAGACUCGUCUGCCCGAAGGAUCUUGGGUGAAUAGCUUACCUUAGCAUUUUACAAAUACAUGUAAAAACCGUAACGAAGAAAAACUUCAGCCUGCAAGUCACAGGAAUGAUAAUAAAAAUAAGGGAAAACGUCAUCAUGCUUUUCGAGGGAAUGAAUGGCAUUAUUUUCGAUGUCUUGAGAUGCACUAGGUAUCUUAUUUGUCGAUGAGAAAACCACACCUAAUUUGUGUUCCUCACACAGGGCCAUGGAGACGUUCUUCGCGUUGAAGAUGCCAUAGAGCCUCAUUCUUUCUGCUUGCACUCUUUAUGACUUUGAAGGAGGGGAGAAAAAGCCUUCUACUCCCAAGGGUAAGGUCACUUGGACCUUGUGUGCUUUAGUCCGGUGAUGUCAGCGGAGGAUCCCGACUCGUCGAGGUUCCCCGUCGGCCCCCGGUCUGGAGGCACAGGUCUCUAGUGAGCAGCGCCUGGUGUCCCCAUCGACUGCUGACGAAGCAACAGACCAAAGAAGCAACCCAUGCAAGAAGCAACCACAACAAACAAAGCAAACAAACAAACAAAGCAAACAAACAAACAAACAAACAAACCACGAAAAAGUUUAAAAGCUUAAAAUGUUAAAGUUACCCUCUACAGGGUGGCUUCUAGUUGUCUGUUGCUUGGUUGGUGGGUCGAGGGGACCCAUUCGUGAAACACACCCCGACAGUUUCUAAUAAGUAAUGCUGUACGCUUGUUUUCCUUACAAAAAAAAUUAAUAAAAAUGGCAAAAGCUGUAACGGAAACCUUUUUGUGUGUCUGUGAACUUCUUUCUACUUACUGCACGUGCAGGUUUCUGUCUCCAAGAAGAGACUCUGAUGGCAAGUAAAGACAUUUCAAACUUGAACAUACUAGCUC
ensembl:lncRNA